rnacentral:rRNA from 1 species
UAUCUCUGUAGAGUCUGCAUAUCAAUAAGCGGAGGAAAAGAAACUAACUAGGAUUCCCCUAGUAACGGCGAGUGAAGCGGGAAGAGCUCAAAUUGAAAUCUUAAAGGGUUUCCCUUUACGAAUUGUAGUUUAAAGAAGUGUUUUCUGUUGGAGUUUCGGUAAAAGUUCUUUGGAAUAGGACAUCAUAGAGGGUGAGAAUCCCGUAUUUGACCGUUACUUUCCAGCUGUGUGAUACACUUUCAAAGAGUCGGAUUGUUUGGGAAUGCAGUCCAAGAUGGGUGGUAAAUUUCAUCUAAAGCUAAAUAUUGGCGAGAGACCGAUAGCGAACAAGUACCGUGAGGGAAAGAUGAAAAGAACUUUGAAAAGAGAGUUAAACAGUACGUGAAAUUGUCAAAAGGGAAGCGCUUGACACCAGUGUUGUUUAGUUGAAAACCAAUUCAAUAGUUUUUGAUUCUAAGUAGUAUUGACUUCAUCAGCUUGCUGCUUUCUUCUCAGAAAUUAUUGAAUGCACUUUUCAGUUAACAAGUCAACAUCAAUUUCUUUUGUUGUAAAAGGGUAAGAGGAAGGUGGCUUGCGCUUCGGCUCAAGUGUUUAUAGCCUUUUAUCUCUGCAAUCGGAGAGAUUGAGGUCUGCAGCGUAGAUCCUUCGGGGUUAGAUACAUUGGUGCUAAGCCAUAGCCUUGUAUAGACAACUUGUUGACUAUGCUCAGUCAUGUAGCUUACUCGCUGAUGCUAUUUUACCUACGCUUAGGAUGUUGACUGAUAUGUAGUCGUA